CGGGGUCAACAAUAGUGGCAGUUCUACACCACGACCGCCGCUGAUUAACGCGAAUAGAGUGCGAGGCCGGGUGGGUUAUGGCUAGCGUAAUUCUCUUGACUUUAAUAAUUUCACAUUGACAAAGACAAUAUCUACACAGCGCAGUUGCUCAUUCGCUUCGAGCUUUAUAUCGAAAAUGUACAAGGAGGUUGACACACGCAUUUAAAGAAUAUAUAAGUACAAAGCUACACAAUUCCUGUGAACAGAGUCAUGACUGGGCGCUUCUGCUUGGCAACGAAUCCGAGCAUUAGAAUUUCGCCGUUGCUGUUGAAAAGUGACUGCUCAAAUAGAAGUUAGGCGGCGCUCGAAAUCGAGAUAGAAACACUAAAGCUGUGUAGGUGUGAAUUGUUUUUUAAAACGUUCUAAAACGUGUGGCUUGGGGGAAUACAAUUUUCUAUUGAACAUUGUUCCAGCAGCAGUGAAGUACACGGUGCGAGAAGAGAAGAAACGCGGCAACGCGUUGGUGGGAGCCAAAGAAAGAUGCGUGGAGUAGCUACAUUGACCUUCCUGCAUGCUCUCCGCGUUUAGGUUUGUACUACCCGUAAGAGGCCAGGAAGUUCAACCAGCAGCAAUGCGAGCUACCACUACCGAUCAGCUGCUCGCUCUGAUGAAGUCACUGCAAAAGCAUUGCAGAUGGAACGAGAAAGUCGGAUUGUGUAGCAACAGCUGUGCGGAGUGGAAAUGCGAGUACCUUUUUACCGGUUGGCCCAAACAAUGCCACUUCGCCUGCAAGAGCGGAUGUUUCUGCCGUUGGGGAUUCUAUCGAGAUCACAGGGGAUAUUGCGUUGGUCCUCUGAGGUGCCUCUACAACAGAAAGCUCUACACGUCCAGUCGCCGAGUGUGACAACUGCAGCGAGAUACCAACACUCAUUGCAUGCGUCCGCGUACCAUGCAGCGAAUAAACCUCUGGUAAUUUUCGACCCCAGAAAAUAAAACAAAA
rnacentral:lncRNA from 1 species